UACGGAGGGUGCAAGCGUUGCUCGGAAUUAUUGGGCGUAAAGGGCAGGUAGGUGGUCUCAUUUGUCUGGGGUGAAAGCCUUGAGCUUAACUCAAGAAGUGCCCCGGAAACGGUGAGACUGGAGUCCUGGAGAGGGUCGUGGAAUUCCCGGUGUAGCGGUGAAAUGCGUAGAGAUCGGGAGGAAUACCAGCAGCGAAGGCGGCGAACUGGAUAGGAACUGACACUCAACUGCGAAAGCGUGGGGAGCAAACAGG
rnacentral:rRNA from 1 species